rnacentral:rRNA from 1 species
AUGGCGACCAGCUCCGGCGGCGGCUAUGGCGGAGAAGGUCUCGACGGCUCCGGCGGCGGUGGUCAUUCUUCCGGUGGCCGCCGCCCGCAAUGCGACCCCGUUGGCAACUUGGGCCCCAACCCCGAUGGCGAUUCGCACUCGACGGCGGAUUGGGGAAAAGCUGUCCUGCCGCCACCGUCGCAGCAUGCGGAGGAGGCAGAGAAGGAUGUUGCGGAUGCGGAGAAGGCGUCGGCGGCGGCUGAUUCGUUGGGGGAGGAAGUACCCCCCGGGCAUCCAUCUCCACCCAGGCCUGAGGAGCCAUGGUCAUUAUAUUUUCAGUUUCCUUCUAAAGAUGCUACCAAAAAUAUGCCCUUGUGA